AGUUACUGAUAGUUACAGUAAAGUUGACUAUUGAAAAGCGUGUUUUGAGAGACACCAGUUUCAAGUGUCAUCAGAUUUUGAAAGAACGUGCUUCAACAUGAAUAAGGGUACGAGCGACAUGAAGCGAAACCCAAGGGAGACUGCAAACAUGUUCAGUGCUCUAUUUUUCUGGUUUGUCACGAGUAUUAUACCUGAGAAUAUAUUUGGCAAAAGAAA